rnacentral:lncRNA from 1 species
AUUAAAUCCAUCAAUCCCUGGAGCUUUAUCAUUUCCAAUACCCUUCAAACUGUCAAGUAUCUCUGUGUCAGUAAUAUCAACAACUAGAUCCAUCCUUUGGAGUUGAGAUAGCUUUGGUCCAUUCCUCAUGUACAUCUUGUUCACAGCUGGUAGUGAAGUGGCUGUAGUUCCCAUUAGAGCUUGAUAGAAAUCCCUAAUCUCCUUCUUCAGUUCUGCAUGAU